AGAGGCGAAAAAGGAUCCGGGGAGACAACCCAAUUCGGGUGGUUACCGUUCAAAGCCAGCUGGUCUGGCUUAAUUAAUGCAGGACAUUUUUUUUUCCUUUUUGUCUAAAAUAUUGUGUAGUCUAGUGAAUGUUUGAUUAACCUGGCCCACAGCAGGAACUGGAGGGUGUGACUUCCUGAAAAAGCACGAAAACGACACGGAUGCCAACCAAGACAAGCGCGAGCACAUACUGAAAUCCAAAAGGCGUUUCUUAGAGCCGCUGCAUGCGUGACGAUCUGGAGGAGUGAGUGAUUGAGCUGAAGGAACUGCGAAUGUGCGUUACUCUACAACCUUAAUGGAAUUAAGCCUGAGCACAGUGGUCACGUAUAAAGUAUUCCAGCCUAUUAAUUAACCCCAGCAUGACUCGUCUUUGGCAUAUUAACCCAGUGAACGUUUUUGAAUCACAGCAUGCUUGUUCGUGUUUAGCAUCGGUGUCAGCUG